rnacentral:lncRNA from 1 species
CAGUAGCUCCUGCCCUUUCAGACAGAAAUGCCUACAGAGCUGCUAUUGUUUCCCUUAGGUGACAAAUGCCAUGAGCCUGGGCCAGCCAAGCCAUCCUGGAGUCCAGCUGCUUCCGCGCUACCACAUGAGAAGGGUGCUUUGUUUUAAUUGUCACAUUUGUUGUUUGGAAGGAUGCUCUUCAACCACGGAAUUUUCUGGGUGACCUUUUCUGUAAGAAUUGCAUGCAAAUGUCCCAGUGGAAGGUCGUGAUUGGUCUGGAAAGGUUAUCUCCAUUUGUCUAGACGGCCGUCUUCACAAAAGAAGAAAGUUCAGGUGUUUCUCUUUGAAAGUCACGCUGCGAAACGCAGUGUGUAUCGGAAGCCGAGCUGCAUUUCCUUCUUCUGGGCCUCGUGAAGUCUGGGCUCUGGACCGUAAAUGCCUGGUCCUCAGCGACACUUCCGUCACAGUGAGUUCCCACGGCCCCCAUCCUACUAACCUGGCUUCUUAUCUGGGUUCUAGUAGAAUCUGAACUUGACAUUUUUAAAACAAUGUAUUUAUUAUUUAAGAUCUUUAUUAACAUGGGCUUGCUGCUUGUUGAACCUUUUGAA